rnacentral:rRNA from 1 species
CCUACGGGUGGCAGCAGUGAGGACUAUUGGUCAAUGGGCGAGAGCCUGAACCAGCCAAGUCGCGUGAGGGAGUACUGCCCUAUGGGUUGUAAACCUCUUUUGUCGGGGAGCAAAAGCCGGACGUGUCCGGCUGUGAGAGUACCCGAAGAACAAGCAUCGGCUAACUCCGUGCCAGCAGCCGCGGUAAUACGGAGGAUGCGAGCGUUAUCCGGAUUUAUUGGGUUUAAAGGGUGCGCAGGCGGAUGUUUAAGUCAGCGGUAAAAUCGUGGGGCUCAACCCCAUCCAGCCGUUGAAACUGGGGAUCUAGAGUGUGCGAGAGGUAUGCGGAAUGCGUGGUGGAGCGGUGAAAUGCAUAGAUAUCACGCAGAACCCCGAUUGCGAAGGCAGCAUACCGGUGCACAACUGACGCUCAGGCACGAAAGCGUGGGUAUCGAACAGGAUUAGAUACCCCAGUAGUC